rnacentral:rRNA from 1 species
GACGAACGCUGGCGGCGUGCUUAACACAUGCAAGUCGAACGGAAAGGCGCUGCUUUUGUGGGGUGCUCGAGUGGCGAACGGGUGAGUAACACGCGAGUAACCUGCCCCUGACUGUGGGAGAACUUCAGGAAACUGGGGCUAAUACCGGAUAGGAGCUCUUGCUGCAUGGUGGGGGUUGGAAAGAUUCGGCGGUGGGGGAUGGACUCGCGGCUUAUCAGCUGGUUGGUGAGGUAGUGGCUGACCAAGGCUUUGACGGGUAGCCGGCCUGAGAGGGUGGCCGGCCACAUUGGGACUAAGAUACGGCCCAGACGCCUACGGGCGGCAGCAGUGGGGAAUAUUGCAGAAUGGGCGGGCGCCUGUUACGGCGGCGCCGCGUGCGGGAUGCCGGCCUACGAGUUGUAAACCGCUUUCUCCUUUGACGAAGCGUGCUUGACGGUAAUGGGUAAGAAAGCACCGGCUAACUACGUG